rnacentral:rRNA from 1 species
AUGAUGAGGGAGGGUGAUGCAUGUGUUGCACUUCUGAGAAGCAAGCUCCAUGGCCUGAUCGAGAGGAACCACACACUGGAAGAGGAGAACAAGCAACUGAGGCAUCAAGUCAGCCGUCUAAAAGGCCAAGUCUCCUCACUUGAAGGGCAGGAUACUGAUAGAAAGAUAAUGUGGAAGAAGCCAGAGAAUUCUGCCACCAGCAACAAUUACUUCAAGGAAAAACAGUUUGUUCACAACAAUGAUGAUGUGAAGGAAGCCAUGGAUCUCAACAGCUCGGCAUGUUACAGCAGGCAGCAAUUUUCUAGGACACCGUCAGUGAAAUCAAGAGCACCAAGAGUUCCAAAUCCACCACCAAGUCCGACGUGCAUCCAACCGAUCAUCAAGGCAAAAAAGGAAGGAUCCAUGGGUCCUCCUCCUCCACCGCCACCUCCCCUACCUUCCAAAUUACUGAAGAGCACCAAGGGAGUCCAAAGGGUGCCAGAGGUAGUUGAGUUGUACCGGUUGUUAGUACGAAGAGAAGGCAAAAGCGAUGCGAAGUCUGGAUCUGUGGGAAUUCCAGUAGCUACUAACAGCCGAGACAUGAUCGGGGAGAUAGAGAACAGAUCAGCUUAUGUUAUAGCUAUUAAAUCAGAUGUAGAAAAUCAGGGCGAAUUCAUUAGCUUCCUGGCAAGGGAAGUUCAGAAUGCAGCAUACAAGGAAAUAGCCGAUGUUGAAGAGUUUGUGAAGUGGCUAGAUGGGGAACUAUCAUACCUGAUAGACGAACGGGCAGUGCUCAAGCACUUCCCUAACUGGCCUGAGAAGAAAGCAGAUGCCAUGAGAGAAGCAGCAUUCACCUACCGGGAUCUGAAGAACCUGGAAGCAGAAGCAUCAUCAUUUCACGACGACAGGAGAGUGGCUACACCUAUGGCUUUGAAGCGCAUGCAAGCUCUACAGGAUAAAAUUGAACAAGGUAUUCACAAUACUGAAAAAAUAAGGGACAGUGCAAGUGGAAGAUACAAGGAUCUCAUGAUCCCAUGGGAUUGGAUGCUUGAUUCUGGAAUCAUAAGCCAACUAAAGGCCGCUUCAUUGAAGCUUGCAAAAGAAUACAUGAACCGCAUUAUGAAUGCACUGAAGUCAGAUCCAUUUGUAAAUGAUGAGGAACUGCUCCUGCAAGGUGUCCGCUUUGCCUUCCGAAUACAUCAGCUUGCGGGUGGCUUUGAUGAAGGUUGCCGGAAAGCAUUCCAAGAACUCAAGACGUACACAAGCAAGUCAGAGUGA